AUCGCGGGUGUGGAUCCCGGGUUGGGGGGAUCGGGAGCCGAGGAGCAGGGAUCGUGGGGGCGGGGAUCGGGGCCCGGCGUUCCCACCCCGCCGCAGCGCGACUCCCCGGCCAGCAUGCAAGGCCCACGAGGCUCUGUCCCGCGCGCUCCGGGCUCCCCGCGUGCGGGCCCCGCGCUCUCCUAGGCUCCUGCGCCCGCCCAAGCGGCGGCGGCGCGCGAGUCCCCAGGCGGAACAGCCGAGCAGGGCGACCAGCAGGCCUUUCGGACCCUUUGGGCUGGGAGCUUUCCUGGAACUGGUUGCCUCCGCCAAAAGGAGGAGAGAAGUAGGAAGCUUGUCUGGCAUGCUGCGCACGCCCAGGCGCAUAGAGCCCUUCCCUCCCAGCGGGCCCCACUUGGCUGCCCCUCAGCAUCACCUGACGCUGCACCCGGGUCUGAAGCACCGCAUUCAUCACUUCCUGCACGCGCACACCCGGCCUGAUCCCCCGCUCUUACCAACGCCAGACACUGAUGAGACGCUUGACAGAAACCUCUAGGCCCACCUGGCUUCCCCGGUCGCAAUCCCAGGAGACAAACAGGGUCCGCGUUUACCCCCACGCUGGCAGGGCCUUCCUGCCCCAUCCUGAAGGCCUGGUGCACUGUCAAGGUCUGCAGACGCUGUCUUGUCAGAUCCCAGGGCACGGUGCGCGGGUAGAGUCCUGCUCCGGGGGACAGGCUGUGGACCCUGACCAGAUGACUUAACCCCUCAAACCUUCAGUUUCCUCUUCCUGGAGUGGUCAUCAAAACUGUGCACAAGUGUCCCCAGCCCCUUCCCUGCCUUGCAGUCCCAGCCUGCAGCAGAGGUGAGAUGUGCUUAUUCCACAGGGCGCAAGCUGUCGCAUCCUUUUUCCCACCUCGACUCCCGUGAUGGUGCAGCCGAGAGGAGCCAGACGGGGAGGGGGGGGGCUGGUGCCGCACGGCUUGUUUGCUGCCAGUGUUACUCCCAAGUGCUGCGAAGUGUGCCGAGUGGACAGCCCCUGCCCGUGCUGCCUGCCUUAGGACAAAGCCCUGCUGAAGGGAGCUGUCCGGAUGCUUCUUGGGAAGGUUCAGUACUGGCCUGAGGUCACCCAGCUUGUCAGCAGCGGUCCCAGCACUGAAACUCCACCUGUGCGGUUCCGAGGCCUCUGCUCCCUCACCUUCCCUGGGAAGUCGUCCUUCCCAGGCCGGGAGCCCCUCUGCAGCCUGCUGUGGCAGACCACACUCAGGUGCGGCGUCAUCUCAGGACACACCUCCUAAAACGCAGGUGGGGCCACUUACCUGUAACCCCUGUGCGGUGGCCACAGUAACAGCACGCGUGACACCGGAAGUGUGUUCUGAGGGCUGACGUGAGGCCUAAGGGGGCCUCACACACUCCAUCGCCAGAGUUAUUAACGUCACGCUCCAUUUUCUUUCUCCAUGGCCCCUACUAGAAUUCUGGGCAAUCACAAGCGAGUCGUCAGGCUGCUUGGCUGCGCUCGGAUUCCUGGUUUGGUGCUGGAUACAGAUGGUAAAACAUCUGCGUCUAGGAACCUGACCUCCACACUGCCCUGUGCCUUGUAUUUACGUGAGGCUCAUCACAUGUCCUUUACUGUACAUGCUGUUUUCCAAGCAGGAAAGAGGGGAUGUUUGAUUUCUGGAGAAAUCUUUGUUCGGAAAAACACUGUAAUACCACUUGUCAUUUAUCUCAUAUUUAUCAUACGAAGUGACACCUUGCUUGUUGAAUGGCUCCCAGCUCGAACUUUUCUGGUACUUGAACAGCAAAGUUCGAAAAAAGCCUGCUGGGUGUUCAGGACUUUGCUCUGUAGUUGAAACGAAAAUCCGACUUGAGAAAACCUGCAGGGGCUGAGAGUGAGUCACAGGUUGCGUCUCGCCACAGAGGGGAGAUGCCUCAGUGCGAGUGACGCUCUCGCUCAGAUGCACACAGGGCUUGUGUCGGGGUGUUAAGACAUUCCACACUCGGCUUUUUUGUGUGUGUGCUUUAUUUGGGUAGAAUAUCGUAACCCUGGCUCCAAGGAAAGUUAUGAUACCAGCGGUAAAGCUAAGAGGAAAACUGUGGGAACCACGAUAGAGUUAAAGAAAGAAAUCACUGCGAAACUUGUUAAAGUCCUGGAAAAAUGAAUUUAUAAGUGUAACUGUUGGGCCUCAGAACCAAUUAUUUGGUUUUCCAUUAUUUCUUAUGGGAAAAAUAUGUCUGGUUCUUGAACUUGUCGGUGUUUGAACAUGAAUUUGGAAGGAACUGAGUUUGACAACCAAAGUACCAUUGUGUAUACUUUAUACACACUUUAUAUAGUUAAAGAGGUGGUACAUGUAUACAUACCACCUCUAAUCAGCGUAAAAUUCAUUUCACUGGUAAGAACGCUGAGUCUCAAAAAGGUCACAUUGCCUGUCCAAAAGGAAACAGCCUUUGCCAGGAUUUGAACCCAUGACUGAGCUCAAGGCUCUGCUCUGACCUCUCCCACGCUGCUUGGCCCCGGCACUCAAAUUAAUUCACACCUGCGCCUUGCUAGAUGCUGCUGUCCCUUGCCCUGGUGAGGUGAGGUUUGGAAAGUGACCUGAGAUUGUGACCGUGCUAAUGUGAGCGAGUUGCCUGGUGAAAAAUGUGUGUUGAACGACCAUCUUCCUGCCCAUAUGGAGGAGGCUGCCUGUCCCCAGAAAUCCACGUGCCUCCGUGCAGAGGGGGCUGACAGACAGCAGCCCCAGUGGGCACACAUCCCGGCCUCCCUUGACAGAGUGGGCCAUAGGAUAGUGGGCCAGAGCACAGUGUGGUUUGUCGCUUGCAGGGGGACAGUUCAGAGAGUAAAUAGGAGAUUGGACUCCAAGGCCCCAGGAUGGUGAGGCCACGGAUGAAAUGACACCACUCUUUGACGAGGACAUCAGACUGGCUCAUGAGAGAGAAACAGACUAUUGUGUUAAGUCCGUGAAGCUAGACGGUUCAUGCAGCUAGCGCUGCCCUAAUACAUGCUAUUUACGCAAGCAUGUGUUGAUACAUAAAAUGCAAAGUGGAAGACUAAAACUACCAUGUGAGACCAGGCAUGAUGGCGCAUACCCAUGAUCCCAGCACUCAGGAGGCUGAGGCAGGAGGAUCACCACAUGUUUGAGGCCAGCGUGGCAGCCUAGUGAGUUCAAGGCCAGCCUGAUCAAACAGGAGUAUUCAACUCCAGUGGAGCAGGAAGAAACUCAUUUACUGGUUCGGCUAUGUUAGUCACCACACGCCUGGCACUGGGGCCAAGGAUGGGCUGGGGCAGUAUGAGCAAGUCCUCCUGAGCUGCCCAUCAGUGAGUGAAAGCACAGUUGUAGCCACCAAGCUUGGGAGAACCUGGGCUAUUGCAUAUGGAUUUGAUAAAAACAGAAGUUUGCUCCCAAAUCAUUGUGGGAAGCCAUGCUUCUUCCCCUGCUACGUGGCCAGAGACCCUAAGAACUGUGACUUAGAACACAGACUCAUUAUCAAAACCACCAGGCUCAAAUCCUGGCUCCGCACCUUUCCAGCAGUGUGAUCUUGGGCCACUUUCUCUUGGUUUCUGUUUUUUCAUCUGGAAAAUGGGGAAAUUGAUAAUCCCCACCCCAAGAAGUUGUCAUUGAAGAUGGCUAAAAGUUGGAUCUUCAUUGUCCCCAAAGACUUAGACUCCGGUGCAGUGCUAUGGGGACACAGUGGAAACUUUGAGAGGUGGGGCCUAGGGGACGCCUGCUGGUCACUGGGGUCACUGAAGGAAAUCGUGAGACCCCGGCUCCUCCUCCCCCCUCUAGUACUGGCCAAGACGUGGGCAGCUCUGCACCUCCCACACCCGCCAGGUGGCACUGCUUCACCGCAACUGGGAAGCAAAGCAACGGGGCUGAUCAGUCAUGGACUGAACUCCCCAAAACCGUGAGCCAAGUAGACCUUUCUCUUCAUCGGCUGCUCAUCCAGGCAUGUGUCAUGGUGACAGAAGGCUGACACAGGACUGAAUGAAUUAAUGCAACAACAAAGCUCACAGAGAGCAGCAAGAGCUGUGUGGUGGCCCCAGGGGAUGUUGGCACAUCCUAUUCUCUACCACCUUCCCACUAGGGUGGCAUUUUGUGUACAGGAGAUACACAAGGUCUGUUUGUGAGGUUGGCAGGUGACAUCAGGAUACAGAAGUACAGGAGGAUCAUCCCCAAUCCAGAAAACCAAACCCAAAGUGUCCUAAAUCUGAAACUCUGAGAGCCCCUCCCUGACUCCCCCCAUGGGAAAUCCUACACCACACAACCUUUUCCAGGCACAGAAUCGCUUAAAGCAGUAUCUGACAUGACCUCGGCCACGCGUAGGGCCCAUCUGAAGUGGAAGUGAGUUCUGUGUUGAGACUCGAGUCCCCUCCCCAAGACAUCUUGUUAGGUAUAAAUGCAGAUAUUCCAAAAUCCAGAAACAUCAGAAAUCCACAGCCCUUGGGGCCCAGGCCUAGUGGAUGAGGGACUCUCAGUCAGAGUGUCUGGAACCGGGGAGGCAUUUGGGAUCCAGCGCUGUCGCCCAGGGCUUCCGGCCCGGGUGAUGAUGGAGGCAGAGGAAAGACAUCGUCUUGGUGCCCACCACAGAGUGGGGACAACUGUGGAAUAGGAG
ensembl:lncRNA